CACACACACACACAGGUGAGCUGUCUCUCUCACACACACACACACACAGGUGAGCUGUCUCUCUCUCACACACACACACAGGUGAGCUGUCACACACACACACACACACACACACAGGUGAGCUGCCACACAUGGCAGCACGGCUCGGGAGUGAGAGCGGUCGUCCAGUUACGGGUCGGUCCCUGGUCUGGUCCCUGGCGCGCAGGUGAGCCAUCAGUGUGCGUGGGUGAAGGGAAACAGUAAGGUGACACUGAAAAUCAGCUUUUCCACUGGAACUUUCCACCGACACUAAUUUCCACAUUUUCCCAGUGCAGUUCUGAAUGGCGUGUGCCGGGCGGCCUGAGGGUGCAGAUCAGUCCUGACUCACAUGGUUAUGAAACGUUUCUGUCGUCACAGCUGGAGGAGCUCCGACUCAAGAGGCUGCUGGGAAACUGGUUCUGGAGCUUCCUGCCCGGCGGCUCAGAGACGCCCGAACACUUGUCUCUGACGAUUCCUGCUUCUCCAAGUACGACUCCAGCGAAACGGACUCACGUGUUAAACCCGAUGGAGCUUCACAGGCGGAGCGCUUCGUUCUUUCUACCAACAGACCGUUUACAGGACGGAGCUCAGUGAAGGAGGCGGGGCCGACUUUAAAUACCGUCAAACACACGGACGCUGAUACGGAGACGCUGCAUCGAGGUGAGCGUUGGCCGAUUAGUCGCACAGGUGUGUGUGCGGUAUAUAUUUAUUGUAUUUCAGCUCCAGCGGUGACGUCGGAGGAUUUCAGACUUUUAAAAACAGAAACAUUGUUCUAAUUUCAUUAUUGUCCGUUUUAGUCUUUGAACAAAUAAACAAAAAGAAUAUUAA